rnacentral:rRNA from 1 species
ACCUGGGCUUGACAUGCAGGGUGAAACCCGUGAAAGCGGGCGCUCUUCGGAGCCUGCACAGGUGGUGCAUGGCUGUCGUCAGCUCGUGCCGUGAGGUGUUGCCUUAAGUGGCGCAACGAGCGCAACCCCUGUCCUUAGUUGCCAGCGAGUCAUGUCGGGAACUCUAGGGAGACUGCCGGUGCCAAACCGGAGGAAGGUGGGGAUGACGUCAAGUCAUCAUGCCCCUUACGUCCAGGGCUGCAAACAUGCUACAAUGCUCGGUACAAAGGGCUGCGAUCCCGCAAGGGGGAGCGAAUCCCAGAAAGCCGGGCUCAGUUCGGAUCGGGGUCUGCAACUCGACCCCGUGAAGUUGGAGUCGCUAGUAAUCGCAGAUCAGCACUGCUGCGGUGAAUACGUUCCC